rnacentral:lncRNA from 1 species
GGCAAUAGCAUUGAAUUAUCGAUGGGAAGCUGAGGAGCAUCUAGAAGAAUAGAAGUGCUCUCCCCUAUUAUCUUAGGAGGACCGCCCUUGAUAGGAACUACAUUGGUCAUGAUGGCCUCUACGACUUUGGAUGGAGGGGAGGCAUGCUUCUUCUUUGAUCAUUUCUCUCUUCACUGAUCUAUAGCCUCAGCAACCUCAGCCUCAGCAACAUCAGCCUCGGCAAUGACAACCUCGAUCGUGGUAGCCUCAAGAG